rnacentral:rRNA from 1 species
AUUGAACGCUGGCGGCGUGCUUUACACAUGCAAGUCGAACGGCAGCAUUACCUUCGGGUAGAUGGCGAGUGGCGGACGGGUGAGUAAUACAUCGAGACGUGCCUUUUAGUGGGGGAUAACUCAUCGAAAGAUGAGCUAAUACCGCAUAAUCUCUGAGGAGGAAAGCUGGGGAUCCGCAAGGACCUGGCGCUGAAAGAUCGGUCGAUGGUCGAUUAGUUAGNGGUGGGGUAAAGGCUUACCAAGGCAAUGAUCGAUAGCUGUUCUGAGAGGAAGAUCAGCCACACUGGAACUGAGAAACGGUCCAGACUCCUACGGAGGCAGCAGUGGGAAUUUUGGACAAUGGGGCAACCCUGAUCCAGCAACGCCGCGUGAAUGAAGAAGGCCUUAGGGUUGUAAAGUUCUUUUGUCUGGGAGCAAAGCGCAUAAGUGAAUAU